UGUGGUCGAGCGAGCUGAUAAAAAGCUUGCUUCUAUGACGUUAGCGGCGGACGGGUGAGUAACACGUGGGCAACCUGCCUGUAAGACUGGGAUAACUUCGGGAAACCGAAGCUAAUACCGGAUAGGAUCUUCUCCUUCAUGGGAGAUGAUUGAAAGAUGGUUUCGGCUAUCACUUACAGAUGGGCCCGCGGUGCAUUAGCUAGUUGGUGAGGUAACGGCUCACCAAGGCAACGAUGCAUAGCCGACCUGAGAGGGUGAUCGGCCACUCUGGGACUGACACCCGGCCCAUACUCCUACGGGAGGCAGCAGUAGGGAAUCUUCCGCAAUGGACGAAAGUCUGACGGAGCAACGCCGCGUGAGUGAUGAAGGCUUUCGGGUCGUAAAACUCUGUUGUUAGGGAAGAACAAGUACGAGAGUAACUGCUCGUACCUUGACGGUACCUAACCAGAAAGCCACGGCUAACUACGUGCCAGCAGCCGCGGUAAUACGUAGGUGGCAAGCGUUAUCCGGAAUUAUUGGGCGUAAAGCGCGCGCAGGCGGUUUCUUAAGUCUGAUGUGAAAGCCCACGGCUCAACCGUGGAGGGUCAUUGGAAACUGGGGAACUUGAGUGCAGAAGAGAACAGCGGAAUUCCACGUGUAGCGGUGAAAUGCGUAGAGAUGUGGAGGAACACCAGUGGCGAAGGCGGCUUUUUGGUCUGUAACUGACGCUGAGGCGCGAAAGCGUGGGGAGCAAACAGGAUUAGAUACCCUGGUAGUCCACGCCGUAAACGAUGAGUGCUAAGUGUUAGAGGGUUUCCGCCCUUUAGUGCUGCAGCUAACGCAUUAAGCACUCCGCCUGGGAGUACGGUCGCAAGACUGAAACUCAAAGGAUUUGACGGGGGGCCCGCACAAGCGGUGGAGCAUGUGGUUUAUUUCGAAGCA
rnacentral:rRNA from 2 species